GAUACCGUGGUAUAAUUGGUUAACACGUCAACGUACAUUGCGAAAGUUGCUGGUUCGUAUCCAGUCAGUAGCC
rnacentral:tRNA from 1 species